UACGUAGGGAGCAGGCGUUGUCCGGAAUCAUUGGGCGUAAAGCGCGCGUAGGUGGCCCUGUAAGUCCGUUGUGAAAGUCAAAGGCUCAACCUUUGAAGGCCGAUGGAUACUGCAGGGCUAGAGUACGGAAGAGGCGAGUGGAAUUCCUGGUGUAGCGGUGGAAUGCGCAGAUAUCAGGAGGAACACCAAUAGCGAAGGCAGCUCGCUGGGACGUUACUGACACUGAGGCGCGAAAGCGUGGGGAGCGAACAGG
rnacentral:rRNA from 1 species